CAUCGGAACGUGCCCAANCUGGGGGAUAACGCAGCGAAAGCUGUGCUAAUACCGCAUACGAUCUACGGAUGAAAGCAGGGGAUCGCAAGACCUUGCGCGAAUGGAGCGGCCGAUGGCAGAUUAGGUAGUUGGUGAGGUAAAGGCUCACCAAGCCUUCGAUCUGUAGCUGGUCUGAGAGGACGACCAGCCACACUGGGACUGAGACACGGCCCAGACUCCUACGGGAGGCAGCAGCG
rnacentral:rRNA from 1 species